rnacentral:rRNA from 1 species
ACUCCUACGGGAGGCAGCAGUGGGGAAUAUUGCACAAUGGGGGAAACCCUGAUGCAGCGACGCCGCGUGAAGGAUGAAGUAUUUCGGUAUGUAAACUUCUAUCAGCAAGGAAGAAAAUGACGGUACU